AUGAGUUCCUGGCAGUUUAAAUUCAAGCAUCCUGUUGACUCAGAGACUGAAACUGUCAACAGGAGGCAGGCUAGUUUAUUUCUUCGCAGUCUCCAGUCCGAGCAAAAGUCAUCUCAAGCAUAGACCUGCUUCCUGGCAACAGGGGAGCACUGAUAUUUUCAUCAGUUCAAGAUGGAGGAGGUAAACAGAAGGUUGUUGAUGAAGAAUUUUAUAAAUUAUGCAGGUCAAAAUCAUCAAGUGAGACUUGCAUGGGAUGAGCUGAAGAACAAAUAAAAGGUGCACGAUGGGUUUCCUGACUCCAUGGAGGAGAUGCUGCCCAACCUGCUGGGUGCCUUCAGCAUCUUCUGUUUUGGUUAAUUGCAGUUUAUGUCUUUUUGUCUGAUUGGCAAUACAAGAAAAAGAGUUAACAGGCCAGUUGGCUGAAGUCCAAAUGAAACGCAAGUUCCCCUUGACAGUGUGUACUGGGACAACUUGGCCACGUCAGCUAGUUUGGUAUCACAUGGCUUCAAUUAUUUUUAACAAAGGCGAGCCAACGUACUGUAACCUGACACUGCAGCUUGCUCAUAUGCUUAUUUCUGCUCAUCUAGACUUAUGCAAUACAGAAAUAUAUAAUUUUUUAAACUUCUGUGGAGUAGUAUUUCCAGUCAAUUUACUUACUUCCAGUGUUUUUACUUUCUGUGACAUUGAUUCAAAGGGAAAAGGAUGUGUGAUCACACAGUUAAAUCUGAAACCAGAAGUAACCAUAAGUGGCUUGUCAGCCUCUCAUGCACUGCGGGGUUACUGGAGUUCAUUUGACAGAAGGCUCCUAGCUAAUUUAAAUGCAUAAUUCAUAAAUGUUGCAUUCAAGGGAGGGGAGCUCCUGGGAUAAUAACCACUAUUCAUAUUACAAAUGAUCAAACAAAGAGAAUCUGCAGACAAGUUGGAAUAUUGCACCACUGUAAUGUGUUGGAACAUGCAAACAGUAUGCCAACACAAAGCAGGCAAAGCAGAAACAAACCCCCACAACAGAGGAGAAGAGAACAUAAAAGACUGAGGUGUGGCUUGAACGUGGCUUUGAGGACUGUAAAGAUUAUAGAGUAGACCAAACAAAGAAGCUUCCAUUUACAGAGAGGUCUAAGGGCCUUUGUUGUAAAGUGGUCACAAACAAAUAUAAUGGAGAAUUUCUUCAAAAUGAGAGAGCAGCAACUCUCCACCACAACUUGUACUUGAGGGGAAUUGUACAGGUUUGUGAGGGAAAGCUCGAUAAACAGGAAGGAUAACUGAAUAAGAACCAAAGCAAAAAAAAAAAUUACAUAGACUGGGAGCAUCAGUAGGUCAAGCAGCUUCUGCUGGGAGAGGGACAGAGUCAACAUUUUGAAUUUCUUUCCAUAACUGAGCACUUUCAGCAUUUGAUGGCUUUGUUUUGGAUUUCUGGUACUCUCGGUUUUCUUGCCGCAAAGAAUAAGACGCGAAACAAAGAUGAGAUGAAGGGGCUUGAGAGUACUGGCACAUACAGCACCAACUCAGGCAUGGUCCAGAGGGGCAGAAUGGCCUGCUUCUCUGAGAUAAAAGCAGAAAAUGCUCUAAAAACUCAGCAGGUCGGGCAGCAUCUAUGGAAACAGAAACAGUUCACGUUUUGGGGGCUGCGUUCAGAAUGGACAGUUGCCUGACUUCUGCUGGAGGUAUAGAGUGAGUCAAUAACUGGAUGUGAUUGUAAAGAACCUUAAGCCUUCUUAAUAUUGAUAAUUGAAAGCGGCAAAAACUAGUUUUCAUAGAACUGUUUCCCAACAGUAGAUAGUCCAGACAGAAGGGAGGAACAAACAUCCAGCUUGCUUGGUACAUCAAUGUGGGCCCAGUGGUACUGUGAGGUUGCUAAUUCUAUGCCAAGUUUCUGGGACAGCAAUCUUUCUAAGUUUUCUGUGUGAAGUAUGAUUUCAUGAGCUCAGGGAUGUGUAUCGCAAUAUGAAGGAGAAGCCAUGAAUCCAGUCUAAAAAUCACAAAUCCCCAAUUCAUUACACCUUUGACCGUUGGCAAGAACAUUUUGAUUUUGAGGGAGUCAGUUGUCAGUCAAAUAAGCAGGAACUAUGUGCUUAUAGCCAAGCAACUGCUUUUUCUUCAUGCAUGGGUUAAUUUGAUUUGUCAACAGUAGCAAAGGUAAAUGUUACCUCCAGGGGUUUUUUUUUUGAAACUAUGAACUGGGGUAGGAUCCAACACAUGGAUAUGUAAUGCCACAUUAAUCAGUGUCAUGUUAGAAAUAUCUCGUAAUAUCGGUGCAAAGUUGCACCAUCAAUUAAUUCACUGACUGUAUGGAUAAAUACACCCAAUACUUAGCCCACUGCUCUCAGAGGAGUGAAAUCAGGAAGUUUCACAAUGAACAAUGAUGAUCUACCCAUGAUACGUUGCAACUUGCCUUCCAGCUUAAGCUGACAGAGAAAUUGCUAAGGCAAUAGAGGAUCCACAUGGACUGAGUUUCACCAAUGUUAGUGCAAUCUGGGUCUUGGACCUGAAACAGUAGCUUUCUUUGCCUGUCCUACCUGAGCCAUUGAGUAUUUUCUAGUUCUACUUCAAAUGAAUUUCAACAUGGCCUGAGCUUGUGGUACAGAGCUGCAGAACCAUGACACUGAACUGAUUUUCCUACUGAGAGACAUAGUCGUGGGAAGCAUCAUCGAGUGGGAUAUGAUUUCUUAUGACUGGGUCAAAAUCAUUGUAUGAGGUCAAUGCCUCAGAUGCCCAGGAUUUCUCAGUGACAGACUAAAAUGCUUGGCACUACACUCGGAACCAAACAGGGAAAAUACCACCCUCAUCUUAAUUGUUUCAGAAGUUAACCCUUCUCAGUGACAGACUAAAAUGCUUGGCACUACACUCGGAACCAAACAGGGAAAGUACCACCCUCAUCUUAAUUGUUUCAGAAGUUAACCCAAAAAAUAAGGAAAAAGUCAAGCAUCUACUGAAGAUGCAGUUAAAUUAUGAAGCCAGCUGACUAACUCUGUCACACACAGAUACUUCAGUACAGGACACAGGAGGCUAUGUUUGCCUCUUUGCAACAGUAACACCAAGAGCAUAACAAGGACAAGGACUUCCAGAGCAAUACUGGUCUCCUGGGCAUCAUCUGAUAUCAAAUUCCUAUGUGCUAUUUUAACAAAUA